UUGUAUUUGCAUGUGGUCCACAUGUGAAAAUCUCUAAUUUUGUGGGGCCCAUUACAGAUGACCCAUGUAAAAAAAUCUUCUAUAUUGAAAUACUAUAUCCCUUUAAUUGGCCAACAAAUAGAUUCUAAUAAUGAAAAAGGGAAAACAUGUGAAAUGACCCUUUAUUUAGUGUUAUUGUCGUUAAAUGACCUGUGCAUAAGAUAAUUGCUUGUACCACGUAGAGUGCUAGUUAAGAAGGGAAUGCUUGUGUAUGUUUUCUUUUGAAGGAUGAAUUUUACUAUAUAUAUAUAUAUAUAUAUAUAUAUAUAUAUUUAAAAGCCCAAAGGGCGAAAUGAGAAAACAGACAACAAAAUAGAUCAACAGAAAAGAAAAACUAAAAAUACAACACCUCAACCCCCAGCUUAGUCACCCCACUCCCUAAUCAUGAAGAACAAUCUGUUAACUAUAAAAACCUAGCAAUGACUAUUAUCCCUGAAGCAUCUUUCAUUCCUUUCCCACCAUAUGCCCCUCAAAGAUGCCAGCAAUGUUAUAAGCCAUUUCCAUUUGUCGGAUGAUGAGGGGAAGCCACCAUGCCAGGCCAUAAAGAGCCGACUCAAAGAGAAAUGCUAAUAGGAUGCUUUCCCAAACCCCUGCCACAAAGGUAGAAACUUUAUUUCUGAAAAUGCAUAUGAAGAUGUCAUUAGUCAGAUGAAGGAUUUAUCUAUUGAAACUGGUGGGAAGGGCACUUCCAAGAAAGAACUCGAUAGUCAACGCAGCUUUUUCUAUGAUAUUAUGGAAUGCAUUGAGGUUAGUACUCUUGUGAAGUGAUUUUGAAUGUUUGACAGAUAUACUAUAAGUGUAUUUUUUAUUUCUUUCGCAUCGAUAAAUGCUAACUAAUGCUCUCUUCAUGAAAGUGGAUGAAACUGUUGGUCUUGAAGGUACUGAAAAGGUAGCUAUUCUUGUUGAAUAUGUCUCACCUUCUUCCAAUGCUCAGCCUACAACUACACAAGAUAGUGCCUUUGUUCCUACUUCACUUCACAUGGUGACUGCAACAUACCCAUUAAUGCAACUCUCAUCUACGACAAUCUUUUCAUUGGAAUUUACAAGUGAAGAUCCAACAAGAUGGAGAGAUUUUAUGGCAUUGGGUAAGAUGAGAAGGCCACUUAGGUGUGAUGGGUACUAAGAAGCAUUAAUCUGACCUGAUAUGAUGCAAUGGUAAAGGUUUAGAGCAGAGGGAAUGAAGAUUGAUCAUGGAGAUAUGAAAUAGCAGUUGAACAUCUGGUGCUUGAGAUUGGUGGAUAAAUCUAUAGUAUGGAAUUUCACAAUGUUGUGCUUGAUUCAAUUAGAUGAACAACCAUGCAACCAAUGCGUAGAGAGAUAUCAGGUGCCAACAAGCUCAGCGUGUUGCGAUCUGGAUCAACAUCGGUCUCAGAGCCCUUGAUCCCGAUCACUUCAAAUCUGACAAUGGUUGUUGAUUUGCACAAUUCAUGCACCAUGUAGGUGUUGAAAUCAAAUAUAAAAUGUAUUACAGAA